rnacentral:tRNA from 1 species
UUUAAAUAGUUUAAAAAAAAUGUUGGUUUGUGGGGCCAGAGAUAUAGGCUUGUUAUUUUAAAUCA